GGAGUGGAAAUAUUGUUGAUAUACCAGCAUGAAAAGUUAAGUUAUUGAAAAUAUUGCCAAUAAAAUCGGUCUCGAAAACCGGAGUAGGGGCAACUCUACCGGGGGUUCAAAUCCCCCUCUCUCCGCCA
rnacentral:tRNA from 2 species